rnacentral:rRNA from 1 species
GACGAACGCUGGCGGCGGGCUUAACACAUGCAAGUCGAACGAUAAACUCCGUGCUUGCACGGAGUGGAAAGUGGCGCACGGGUGAGUAACGCGUAGGCAAUCUACCCUCAGCAGGGGAACAACCAGUGGAAACGCUGGCUAAUGCCCCAUACUGUCGUAGCACCGCAUGGUGCAACGAUCAAAGUUCAGGCGGCUGAGGAUGAGCCUGCGUUAGAUUAGCUAGCUGGUAGGGUAACGGCCUACCAGGGCUACGAUCUAUAGCGGGUCUGAGAGGAUGAUCCGCCACACUGGCACUGAGACACGGGCCAGACUCCUACGGGAGGCAGCAGUGAGGAAUAUUGCGCAAUGGACGAAAGUCUGACGCAGCCACGCCGCGUGCAGGAAGAAACCCCUCCGGGGCGUAAACUGCUUUUAUAUGGGAAGAACACCCUAUUCGGUAGGGUCUGACGGUACCAUACGAAUAAGGACCGGCUAACUCCGUGCCAGCAGCCGCGGUAAUACGGAGGGUCCAAGCGUUGUCCGGAAUCACUGGGUGUAAAGGGUGCGCAGGCGGGCUUGUAAGUCAGAGGUGAAAUCCCCCGGCCUAACCGGGGAACUGCCUUUGAUACUGCAAGUCUUGAGUCUUGGAGAGGUUGCCAGAAUUCGUGGUGUAGCGGUGAAAUGCGUAGAUAUCACGAGGAAUACCUGAUGCGUAGGCGGGCAACUGAACAAGUACUGACGCUGAGGCACGAAAGCGUGGGGAGCGAACAGGAUUAGAUACCCUGGUAGUCCACGCCGUAAACGAUGGAUGCUCGAUGCUGGUCCGUUUCAGGGGCAGUGUCCAAGCUAACGCGUUAAGCAUCCCACCUGGGGAGUACGAUCGCAAGGUUGAAACUCAAAGGAAUUGACGGGGGCCC